rnacentral:rRNA from 1 species
CUGACGUUAGCGGCGGACGGGUGAGUAACACGUGGGUAACCUACCUAUAAGACUGGGAUAACUUCGGGAAACCGGAGCUAAUACCGGAUAAUAUUUCGAACCGCAUGGUUCGAUAGUGAAAGGUGGUUUUGCUAUCACUUAUAGAUGGACCCGCGCCGUAUUAGCUAGUUGGUAAGGUAACGGCUUACCAAGGCGACGAUACGUAGCCGACCUGAGAGGGUGAUCGGCCACACUGGAACUGAGACACGGUCCAGACUCCUACGGGAGGCAGCAGGC